CGUGGACCGUCUGACUAAGUCAGC
rnacentral:siRNA from 1 species